GACGAACGCUGGCGGCGUGCCUAACACAUGCAAGUCGAGCGGGGGGAGUUCUUCGGAACGAACCUAGCGGCGGACGGGUGAGUAACACGUGGGUAACCUGCCUCAAAGUGGGGGAUAGCCUUCCGAAAGGAAGAUUAAUACCGCAUAACACAUGAUUUCCGCAUGGAAGACAUGGUAAAGAUUUAACUAUUUGAGAUGGACCCGCGGCGCAUUAGCUAGUUGGUGAGGUUACGGCUCACCAAGGCCACGAUGCGUAGCCGGCCUGAGAGGGUGAUCGGCCACAUUGGAACUGGGAAACGGUCCAGACUCCUACGGGAGGCAGCAGUGGGGAAUGUUGCACAAUGGGCGAAAGCCUGAUGCAGCAACGCCGCGUGAGUGAUGAAGGCCUUCGGGUUGUAAAGCUCUGUCUUUUGGGACGAUAAUGACGGUACCAAAGGAGGAAGCCACGGCUAACUACGUGCCAGCCGCCGCCGUAAAAC
rnacentral:rRNA from 1 species